AAAAUCACAUGGCAGGGGAGACACCAUGAUCAGACAGGCUCAUCCUGGGAUCAGGCGAGGCUCAUCCCCUGCACUCCGGGUGUUCUGACCCCUGCCAUUUCCCCAAAUGCGAGAAACUCAACAGCGUAAUUUGUGGUAGUGGGGGGCUGCGUUCAUUUCUAGUGGGAGGUGUCCCUGC
rnacentral:snRNA from 14 species